AGAAAAAUAAGCUAAAUAAGCUAUUAGGUUCAUACCCUAAAUAUAGAAUAAAAUUCUUUUUUCUA
rnacentral:tRNA from 1 species